GGCUUUGAAGUAUAUAUUACGUUGAAUUGCAAAUUCAGAAAAGCAGUUAAGUGGCUGCCAGAGCUU
rnacentral:tRNA from 1 species